rnacentral:lncRNA from 1 species
AAUGCUAACUAAUUAAAUUAUUAUAUGAUUGUAAUCAUAAAUCAUUUUAAUUAAUUGAACAAAAAAUAUGUUCCUUCCAACCCUUUGUUUGUAUGUAUAUACAAAAACAUAUUGAAAUAAACUUCAUUUCCUGCUUGAAUCUGAUUUCUAUAGAACCUAGUAACAUACUUGUUUAGUGUCUACAACCCUAAAAUGUUAAUCAAUUCUACAUUAUGUAAAGCUCUGGCUCUAUUCUACAAUAGCUUCAUUCAACACAUCAAUUUGUUUUGUUCCAUUUAUAUAUAUAUAUGUAUUUUGGAUCUUGUGACGACUUUGACUUGAUAUACAAACUUGAAAAGCCGUGUGAGAGAACCGAUAAAAGAAGACUUUAAAUCGCGGAAAGCUGAAAACACAACUUGAGGUACCAACCGCAAUUGUGGUUCUUCUUUUGACCAGCAACAUUGGCGGACUUACUAUCAGAGUGUUAAUUUUACUAUCAGAAUGUUUAAAUCAGAAUGUUUGUGCUACAAUCGCAAGCUUCAGAAUAUUGUAUAACUCCUCUCUCGUGAAAGGAUGAAUAUAACUAACACUACAAUAUUAUCUUGUGAGCAGCAUCAAUCCAGACAGAGAUGGAUUACAUGCAAAAAAAUUGAACAGGGCCACUCAAGAUUUCCCCAAUCUCACACAGUCUUUACAAUCCCGAGCUGCAAAGGGCACCUGAAUCCAUGAAUCCGUUACAGAACUUGACAAUCCAGUGGACACAUCCCAAAUGCGCAUCUCCCCAACCCGCAAAAUCACUAGAAAAUCACUUCAAUAAAUUCUAAAGGGACUCAUACUGGGUAAGAUACAGAAAAUAGACCCUACAAAAUUUUCGUAAGUCUGGCGGAUUAAAUUAUCUCAACAACAGCGAUCCUCGACAAUCAAGUUGCAAGAUUAAUGUUCAUCUUCUAAGACAUAUCUCCAUGAGAAAUCAUGACAUUGAAAAAAGUGAUUCUUCUGCGCAAGUUUUAACUCAAAUUGAGCCCUGCGCUUUUCCUUUCCCAUUUUACAAUUCACAAUCAUAGGCAAGCAAGUGACCAUUUGAGAGACGAACCGUGAGCAAAAUUAGGGCAACACUAACCUGGAGUUCCAUCUUAACAUGGCGUGACAUCCUUAUCAGCGCCACAGCAAUUGAGCAAUCCAUGAACCUUCCAAAACCCUUCCUUUACGACGCACUCUAUUUCUUAACCCACAAACUUGCUCAAAAGAAGCAUGGAGUUUUCUUUUUGUGCCAACCCCAGCAAACAAAAUUGCUCUCAGAUUACAAUUUUGAGGGCAUAGACACAAAACAAUGUUACAUGCUCUGUCUGCACUUCUGUUUCUAUUGUAUGUGUGAAACUUACACAACUUGCAGCAUCAGCUGUAUCUUGCUCCAGUUGAAAACGAACCUCUGUAUCAACAACACCUAAUGCAUACAAUUCAACAUCACAGUAAGACAAGGUUUAGGAGAUUUGAGAACAAAUAUUAGAUGUAAUAAUAAUUUAAAUAUAUGUUUUGGAUAUAUACAUAUAAAUAUAUAUAUAUAUAUAUAUAUUUUUUUUUUCUAAUGCCACCACAAUUUUUGCUAUUACCAUCCCAACUCACCACCCACUUGAUAGUUCCUAUCAAUGGUUAAGACAACACUAUAAUAUAAAUACUCUCCACUUGGCUUGACUCCCAUGGAUU